AUCGCUUCAAAGUGCAGUAUCUGUUUUUAUCAGCUUAAUAUCUGAUACGUCCCUUACAAGGGACUUCGAUAUUAAACUGAUUUUUGUAACUGGGCGGGGCGUAAAAAAGUUCUUAAUAGUGUUUUUUUAUUCAAU
rnacentral:snRNA from 1 species